CUCUUUAUUAUUUUAAUCAAAACUCAAAAAUCUAUCUUUCUUUCUUUCUCCGCUCUCUUCUUCAAGCUCAAGGUGGAGGCUCGAGGAAGAUAACUAAACAGUAAACAAAUUAUAUAAAGGAAUUAUACAAUCAAUUAUAUAUAUAUAUAUACGUAUUCAUUCCUGUUGAUCGGACGCUGGUUGUGAAACGAUCGAGUUCGAAUUCUGUUCAUUGCAGGUGAUCGGAGGUGUACGCAAUCCAAUGUACCAUGUCUUUUUUUCUCUCAAUGACUAGAACAUUCAAUGACAUGCAAAUUUGAACCGGAAACAAAGAGGUAUCGGAAAUAUUUGGUUGUUCGAGUAAAAUUUGCGAGUUUUAUUUUUAUUUAUGAAUUGGUUGGUUUUUCGUUCAAUCGUGAAAGUGAAUGCUGUGAUGAUCAGCUCAUUAUUUUCGGAGCUUAGGUUUGAUUAGCAUCUUGUUCUGAAAAUGUGGUGAUUAGCAGGUUAAGAGAGCUGCUAGCUGUUGCUGGUUUAUGAGGCUGAAGCUGAGGGAAGUAGAACUUAAAUCUGGAGGUUUGAUUUGUAUGUUUGUUGGAUAAAAGAUUUUUGUUGUUGAUUUUGAUUAGUCUAUCUGCUCUGACUGUGAUAUGUAUAAGCUAACGUUUCUGUUACUGCAAUCAUACAAUCCUCAUUGCAUGGAACUUUGCUGGAGUAGGCUGUAGGCAUUAGGGUUCUGAGAUAUAAAUUGACAUUGGUAUAGUUAGGGUUUGCAGAUAUUUAGGAUUUUUUUGGGUAGGGUUCUUAAAUCUUUUUUAAUUUCUUUUAAAAUUUAAAAAAUGUGCUUGAUGGUUUUUCCUUUUUGUUUUUAUUUUACAAAUCCCCCAUUUCAAAAAAAAACACUGGAAACAUGUUUUCAGAGUGGAACUAACAUAUAAUGUUGCUAAAAUAUUCCAAAAGCUUACUACAAUGUACUGUGAUGGAAAUGAUUGUGCAUUUCAGAUAGAAGCAAAUUAUUAUUUUCCCCCCUCAAAAUUUUCAUAAUUUUACUAAGAAUUAUUUGAGAAUUUUUAUUGAAAAUGAUAACCAAGUGUGUGCUAAUUUUCAGAAAUUUCAGAGAAGAAAAACUGAAAAAGAUAACAGAAAUGGUACAUGAAGACAGAAAUGGUAACAAACAAAAAAGAGUCAGUUUCUCUGCUUGCCUUGCUUGCUAUUUCUGUAGCUGAAUGUAAUGUGAUGGAUUUGACUUGGAUGGAUUCAGGGAAUGUGACAAAAGUUAGGGUUUUUAAGAUAAAAUAAACAUUUAGGACUAUUCUGGUGCACCAUUUUAAUCAUAAAGACAUUGAAAAUGCUUUGGCGGCCAUGGAAGGCCCUAAUAAAAGCAACUUAAUGAGCAGUACAAUGCAGUUCUUUUUAUGGAAUCCAUGAUGACGAGUGACGACCACUAUACUUUUCUACAUAUGUAUGAACUAUAGUUAUGGAUGCUAGUCAGCCACAUUCCAUUUCCUUAUUCACGGCUUCAUAGAUUGCCAAAUAUGUGUGGCUUGCGAUUGUAGAAAAUUGUUUUGUUUUCCUUCUAUUGGUGGGUGAAAGGUGUCCUUAUGUGUCACUGUUCGUUAAUUAAUGGAACUGCUUUUGAUUCUUGUUGGCAUUAUUCCUUGUUCAACGAAACUGAGCAUUUGGAUUUCAUAUCUGAAGAAAUAAAUGAAAGAGAACUUUAUAUGAAAAAACACUAAAAAGUAAUAUCUUGUUGGAUCCUUAACAGGAAACAUUUGUUGCUUUUGUCUAGAAGUGGCUGACUUUUCUUAUCCAUUUCAUAAUUUAUUAGUUGCUUCGUGUCGCUAGAAAGUUGGACUGUAAAAUUUACUCAGGAGAUGGAUAUGCUUCUUCAUUGAUGGUUGUACUGUUUGCGAUUCUUUUAUUGGGGAAAUCCAAUUGGUUGUUAUUUAGGGCUGUCAUCAAGUUGACAUGAGUUUACGGCUUAUUUUAAAUGGCGUAGAUUGCACUGCCAGCUUCGUUGGAAUUAUAUGAAUUUACAAUGAUGAUUAUGUUUCAGCCGCUAUUUCGGUGGGAAUACUGGUAGUAGCCUUUAUGAGCUUAAAUUUGUCGUAUUCAUACAAAACAAAGCAAUGAAUUUGAAUACGUUUGUUGAGAAGUUGGAUUUCAUAUAUGAAGGAUAAGUGAAAGAGAAGUUUAUUUGAAAAGCCACUACAAAAUAAAAUCUUCCGUUGUAGGAUCCUUAACCAGAAGUCGUUGUUCUUGUUGAAAGGUUGCUGACUUUUGUUAUCCAUUUUGAUUAUUGUCUUUAGAACGUUGUACUGUAAUUUGUACCCAGGAGAUGCAUAUUUCUGUCUGGGACUUAUUUUGUCAGCAAUUUAUUUUGGAAAUCCAAAUGGAUUUUAUGUCAGUAAUCGGUUGACAUGAGUUAACAAAUUGUAUUAAACUGUUUAUAUUGCUUUGCCAGCUUCAUUGGCAUUAUAUGAAGUUACAAUGAUGAUUAUGUCUUACUCGUUGUCACGAUGGGAAUAAAGUCCUGACUUCUGUGUUUUUGAAUUUGUCGUACUCAUACUAAUCAAAGUAAUGGGUUAAAUACGAGUGCUGUGUUAUGACACAAUCUUUAUUGUCCUUCUAUCUUUGGUUGUGAAGGCAUACUAUGAGGAAUCAACAACAUUCAGAACUACGAUGAACUAACAGAGUUUCAGACUUUCAGUGGCCACUUGUUAACAACAUCAGCAUUAAGGUAAUUGAUUAUAAAGGCAUAGCUGGCAGUCAUGACAUUAGCUUAUGGAAGGAUAAUGUGAUGUCUAUUAGUUAGAUUUUAUGUAUUGCUGUUCCCUUGCUAUGUCUUUUGGUUUUGUUAAUAAUUAAGUUUUGGCAAUUUGCAGGUUACAUGAAAGAAUGACGUGUGGAAUUCUGUUUCAAUUGCUUUUGGAUAAACAAUUAAUAAAUCGAGAUCAAUGUGAUCUUCAUAUCAUUUGUAAGUUUCUAGUUUAGCUGCCCUUUAUAAUAUAUAUAUAUAUAUAUAUAUAUAUAUAUAUAUAUAUUUUAUUAUUUUUUUUUGCGGCCACAAUAUUACAUUUCCAUAAAAUGGUUGCCAUGUGGAAUUCUGUUUCAUUUUCUGAGAAAGAAUAUUUGAUGUUCUGUCAAACAUUUAAACGAGGAGCGAUGAUUGAUUUGUCAUUUGUAUGUUUCUAGAAUUUCCAGUUGCCCUUAUAAUUUAUCUCGUGGUCUUUUAGUUCAUUAAUAUUAAUGCCUCACCUGCUUUUAGGAUUAAGGUUGCGUCAAGUCCUAUAAAGUUUAGUGUAGUUCUGGUGUUCCCCUAUGGUCCAGCAUUAAAGUGAGUGGAUCUGUAACCUUGUAUAUAAUCUCGGUUUCACCCAAAAUUGUAAAAUGAGUAUCAACUUGAACUUCACUUAAUGUGUCCUCUUUGAUUUACAAAAAUGGAGAAUCUUUUAUAGAGAUGGCAAUGUUAACAUCCGUAAAGGUAAAAGGGAUCUUGAGCUUGGUUGUGGAACAUGGAAAUCUGUAAAAGAUAAUGACUUUACAAUCUCAUGCCCAAAUCAGAACGUGGAAGCAAGAGUAGGAAUGGGAGUGUGAGAGCACUAAAUUUGAAAUACAAGGUGCUACUGAGAGCACAUAUGUACAAAUAUAUAAGAUAUAGAUCAUAGUAUGUAGGUUUCGUAAUAUAAAUAAACUUAUAGAGGAAACAUCAUUAAAUGAUAUCAGUUAGGUGGUCUAUCAAAUCUUGUUUGUAACAUUUCUGUAUCAUGCUUGUCACCGUUGAGAUUCGGUUUUUUGGCAUUCAAGAGAAACAUGGUGUCUCGUGAUUGUUCAAAGAUGAGUUUGUUUUGUAAUCUUCACUUGACUUGAGGCUAUUUCUUGCAUCCCAAUCAAAUUCUAAUAUCAGUAAGACCAACUAGCUGCCACAGAUUAGAGAAUUAGGGGAAUAUAUAUUUUCCAUUAGCAUAUUGAGGGUAUCCGCUGGUUGAAUUAUAUCGAUUAUAUUCAUCCAAGCAUAAUAAACAUAUCCAAGAGAUUUUACCAUGUCAACUUCCUGGUGCUCAAAGGUAGCAUCAUUUGGUUGCGAUUUGUGAGCUAUGUCUGAUCCUUUAUUUGUGAUAAAUCAUAGCUUAAGCCAUUUUCCUUGGAUUUCUUAGUUCAUUAAUUACAAUAGUGUGAUUGGUAUUAUGUUCAGUCACUCUAUAUUUCAGUCGUAUGAUCUUACAUACACACACACACACACACACACACACACACACACACACACAUAUAUAUAUAUAUAUAUAUAUGAUGUCGCACUUCAUUAUACGCUGCCUAUGAGAUGUUCAAGAUAUCGUAAAAGCCUUUUUAUUUUGUUAUCCAGAUUAUAUCUUUUAUGAGUUGAUAGUAUCAAUAAUGUUGAAAUGAUUGGCAGUACAAUCUUGACAUGAUGACAUUUACAUACUACCAGCAAUCAUGCCUUCUUAACUCUUAAGUAUCUUAUUCAAGAGUUUCAUUGAUUGAUAUUUUAAUUUGUGAAGUUUCUUUACUGUCGUCUUUUAGUAAAAUUUUCUUUAAAACCAAGUGUAAAGGGUUUUUAUUCAACUAUAAGGAUGGAAUGCAGGAGCAAGUAGUGGGAUGGAUUUGGUCUCACUUAAAAUAUUUUUGGUGUAUAUUGAUUAUGCUAAUUGAAUUCACGAUAAUAACUUAAAAAUAUAACGUAUCAGGCAGUCACGAUAUUGUUUUGAGGUACUAUAAUGAAUGCAUGGUGUGGGAAGAUUAAAUCAUAUUGACAUCCUUAUUUUUCUCUGUCCAAAAAGAUAUUGAAAAUGUUGGUAAAUUCUUCGACUUCUUGGCAAGUUUGUUGAUAAUGUUGUUGAUUAGUGGCUUGUUGCAGCCUUGCAGGAUAGGUAAUAAUAAUAUGCUAAUGGAUUUUAUGUAUUUAAAUAAAUUCAAGAUAGCUAUUGAUAGAAAUAUUGGCGCAUUAACUUCCACAGGGGCAACUCAAUAUUGAUAAGUUGGUAGGAAUGAGGAUCACCCAAAAAUUAUGUUUCUUUGACAUGCCACUUAGGAUGUAGGAAUGGUAUGUAUUUGGUUUGUAUUUAAAUGGAGCAUUGUCUUGCUCUGCCUAUAGACUAACUUGUGUAAUUAUUCUCUGAGAUUAUCCUAGUAUAGUAGUUGCUCUCUGAGUUUAUGACAUCUUACCUGUAUCUGCAAGCAUGCUUAGCACAGUUCGCAGUUUAGCUAGAACUUAAUAUAUUUAUUAUUUCUAGCUUGAAUUUCAAGAAGGUAUCCAAAAAGCUGUCAAGCUAGUUGAAGCUUGAAUAUGGGUGUAGAACGGGUCAAUAACCCCAAAAAUGCACUGCAG
rnacentral:lncRNA from 1 species